UGGCGGACGGGUGAGUAACGCGUAAAGAACUUGCCCUUUAGACUGGGAGUAACAGAGGGAAACUUCUGAUAAUACUGGAUAAGUUAGUAUAUCGCAUGAUAUGCAAAUGAAAGCUACGGCACUAAAGGAGAGCUUUGCGUCCUAUUAGCUAGUUGGUAAGGUAAGAGCUUACCAAGGCGAUGAUAGGUAGCCGGCCUGAGAGGGUGGACGGCCACAAGGGGACUGAGAUACGGCCCUUACUCCUACGGGAGGCAGCAGAU
rnacentral:rRNA from 1 species